ACUGCAUACAAUCAGCCAUCACCCAUAAUAACAUAUAAAAACAUAAACAAGAAUUUUAUUCGAUUAAAAUAAUUUACUUAACGUUGUUUUUUUUUUUUUUAUUCAGGCUAACACUAUUCAUUAAGUUUUUUUUUAUAUUAAGUUAAAAUUGUAUUGAACAUAUACUAAUUAUACUUAUAUAAUAUGAAUUAAAUUAAAAUAAAAAUAAUUGUAUAGGUAGGUACAUUGAAAGAAGAAAAACAAACGAUUUUCGAGACGUUGAAAAAUUAAUAUUAAAAUAACAUUAUAAUUGUUCGAUCAAUAUUAAACUUCUAAAUAUGAAUUUAAUUCAAACUUAAAACAAUAAUACCGAUCGUAUUAUUUGGUUAUGUGAAAAUAUAGAUAUUUUCGUGUAUUUUUAAAUCUAUGCCGACGUUUUUCUCUAAAUUUCUUUAACACAAUUAUUAUUAUGUUAUGAGAAUAAAAAUAAAUUUUAUAUCAAAGCAUAAUUUAAAUUAAUCAAUAAAACAUUUUAUUAGCAUUUGUUUGUAAAUAAUAUAAUUGAUUAGAAAAUAAUAUGAAUGCAUUAUUACAGUAGGAAACUAUUAUUAAAAUUGUGUAUUAUAACGUCAUAUUCGAUUCGUAUAAUAAGAGUCACGCUUAGAAAUGUGUUAUUGAACAAAAAUAUGCAUAAAAAAUCGCUUGACCACUUGAUUGACUAGUGAAACGUUAACUUAUUACAUAUUAUAAUGUUAUUAUCAAUAUUAUCGUUAGUUCAAAACGUUUAAAUAUAUUUUUUUAAAUGUGUUAUACCUAAAACGAAAUCGUACGAAAACGCCAUUUACCGUGUAGAAUAUCAAAAAUCUGUGAAAAUAAUAUUAUAUGUUUAAUAGCAGAAAUAUAUAUAUUUCUUUAUCUAACAAAAAUAUGCACAUAAGACCAUAAAUUUAGGCAACGUAAUGGUAUAAUAUUAUUUAAACUAUUUCAUAGUUAAGAUUAUUUUCAAAAGCCAAUAUUAUUAUUGUUUUUAUGGGAAUAGGUACUCGAAAAUUAUUUCUAACGUUUACCAAUAAUGUUUUGACAUUAUAAUAACUUUAUUAGUAUUGCAGUAUAAUGCAGUAGGUUAAGGUACGCAUAAAAGACUAUUAGAAUUUAUAAAAAAAAAAUAUAUAAAAAAAAAAACAAGUUAACAAUAAUAGAUUGUUGAUUGAUUAGAAUAUAAUAAUUUUUAAUACGUAC